GGGGAAUAAGAGGAAAACACAGGGAGGGGGGGAAUAAGAGGAGAACACAAGGGGUGGGAGAUGAGAACGUAGGGGAGGGAGAGACCACUAAAGGAGGGAGGGGGCAGUGGAGAGACCACUAGGGGAGGGGUGUGAGGAGAGACCGCUAAGGGAGGGGGGUGGAGGAUAGACCACUAGGGAAGGGUGGGGGGAGAGGAGAGACCACUAAUGGAAAGUCGGGGAGAAAAGGAGACCACUAAGGGAGGUGGGGGGGAAAGGAGAGACCACUAAGGGGCAGGGGAGAUCUCUAAGGAAUGGAAG